CCAGCAGUUCUGUAAAUUUUGCUUAUCAGUAUUCAGUAGUCUUGGUUUUUAGAGUGUUCUAUAAAUUUAAAAAUCUAAACCUAGUGGCACAUCAUUAGGGACGUUGGGGUUCAUUUUCAGCUUAUACUUUACUUAAAUAAUGCAGCAGCUCAUAGUCGCAGACUAUUCUAUAAGAUUUCCGAUGCAUUGAUGCAAGUAUAAAUAUAGAAGAAUUAGAGACACUGACAGGAAACACCACAAAUUCAAAUCACAAAACAUAUAAAACCAUUAAUAUUUAAGACCACAGACCUGGCUGCCAGAUGCUUAGCUCUAACAAUUGAUCUCUCUAUAUUUCAAGUUGGAAAAGAGCCCCAGAAAAUCAGAAGUAAAAUUCUCUUUCACUAACUCUUUCUUCGAUUGGAAAAUCUCUCUCUAAAUAUAUAUAGAUAUCAGGAUGUGCAGAUUGAUACAGUUAUAUGUCCUCUUAGGUAGAAAGAGACAACAUAUUGGAAACCACCCGUACAGCAGACAGAAGGACAGGGAAUAGAAGAAAGACCAGGUAGUAAUAGAGAUGCCAGAGAACACAUCAAGUUCAGAUACUUCAGUGCCCUUAUUGGAGUCGGGAGUUCAUGGAGAUGUAGGAGUCAGAUGGUGGACCAAAAUUUUGGAUGUGGAGGAAGCGAAGAACCAGGUCUUGUUUUCGUUGCCAAUGAUUCUGACCAAUGUUUUCUAUUACUUGAUCACUUUGAUUUCCGUUAUGUUUGCUGGUCAUCUUGGUGAGCUUGAGCUUGCUGGGGCAACACUGGCCAAUUCAUGGGCCGUUGUCACUGGCUUUGCUUUCAUGGUUGGGUUGAGUGGAGCACUUGAGACCCUGUGUGGGCAAGGAUUUGGUGCAAAGUCAUACAGAAUGUUGGGGAUUUAUCUGCAAGCCGCUUCCAUCAUAUCUUUCCUCUUCUCUAUCAUCAUAUCAGUAAUCUGGUUCUACACCGAGCCAAUACUUAUCUUACUUCAGCAAGAUCCUCAAAUUUCAAAAUCUGCUGCGCUUUAUAUUAAGUAUCUGAUUCCAGGAUUAUUUGCUUAUGGAUUCUUGAAUAACAUAUUGAGAUUUCUUCAGACACAAUCUGUUGUCAUGCCAUUGGUUUUUCUCUCAGUGAUCCCACUAGUUAUUCAUAUUGGCAUUGCAUAUGGUUUGGUACAUUGGACAGCUCUUGGUUUCAAGGGAGCUCCACUGGCAGCUUCAAUUUCGUUGUGGAUAUCAAUCCUCAUGCUGGCCACGUAUGUUGUUCGCGCUAAGAAGUUUGAGCACACAUGGGAAGGAUUUUCAUUAGAAUCUUUCCAUUAUGUCCUAACAGACUUAAAACUUGCCCUCCCCUCUGCAGCUAUGGUUUGCUUGGAGUACUGGGCUUUUGAGAUUCUAGUGCUCUUGGCAGGAUUAAUGCCAAACUCGGAACAAACCACUUCACUAAUUGCAAUGUGUGUGAAUACAGAAACAAUUGCUUACAUGCUUACAUAUGGCCUCAGUGCUGCUGCAAGCACAAGGGUGUCAAAUGAAUUGGGAGAAGGGAAUCCAGACCGAGCUAAGAAUGCAAUGGCUGUUACCCUGAAGCUCUCUGUGCUUCUUGGCUUCUUAGUUGUACUGGCGCUAGCACUUGGUCACAAUAUCUGGGCUGGCUUCUUCAGUGACAGCACUGCAAUAAUAGAUGAAUUUGCUUACAUGACACCAUUUCUUGCAAUUUCAAUAAUGCUUGAUUCUGUGCAAGGCGUCUUAUCAGGUGUGGCUAGAGGAUGCGGGUGGCAGCACUUGGCAGUGUACGUGAACUUGGGGACAUUUUAUUUGAUUGGUGUGACAAUUGCAUGUCUUCUUGGCUUUAAGUUGAAACUAUAUGCCAAGGGUCUGUGGAUUGGUUUAAUAUGUGGUCUUUCCUGUCAAACCGGGACACUUUUGUUUAUUACACUGCGCACGAAAUGGACGCAAUUGGAUCUUACUCAUAAUCCAGCAGCAUCUGUUGAAUGAAAGUGAAGGCUUGGACAAUAAACAAAUCUAAUCCUUUGGCUGGAUAUUAGAGUUGUCUUAACAUUACGAAUCUCAAUCAGCUUCAUGAAAUUUGGAAUUUAACUCCAAAUUACCCUAAAGUUGCUUGGUGCACUGCAAUAUAUAGAACUCGAUGAGACUGAGGGCUAGCCUGAGGCUCGACGGCGCUCCGGUGACUAAGAGAUGUUCACCGCCGCCGGUGACAACUGUCAGUCGUAAACAAGCUGAUACCACCUAAGUUUGCCAAGAACCACAUUCGACCAUCACUUGGCAAAUGUGGUCUGGAAGGCCCUUGUGGAAAAUGCUGGAAUGUGGAACUGGAAAGGACAGGGAACGGCAUUUUUUUUCCACAAUGAUGAUUGACAGACUUUUGUGAAGGGAUCACCUUUUACAGGUUGGGGACUUUUUAAUUUAUAUGACAAAACUUGCUGUGAGAAAGAUGUUCAAGUACCCAAGAGAAAAAGGGGUCAUCCUCCGGUGAAUAAAGGAAACUCAGCUGAAGGUGGAGCUGUAGAUGUUAUUAACCUUGAAGAUGAAACCUCCAAAGGUGAAAUGUAAACCAGAAUUAAUGGCAGAAGAAGUUGAAAUUAUAUCAUGCCUGGUAAGGAGAUCAGAAUUGAAGGCAUGGGAACAUCAUUUGGAUCCAUUUUCAGGCAAUUCCGAAGGAAGUAGCCACAACUGAAGGUCUUAUGAAUAUAAAGGCUGUAGAAAUUCAAGACCCAAAUGGAAGAUCAUGGCCUACUAAACUUAAGACUGUUACUUAUAACCAGCAGAACCGUAAUAGUCAUGAUCGCUUGGACAUGUCAACAGGUUGGAGAGAAUACUGUAAAGCCAACGAGAUUUCUGUUGGUGACACCGUCAUUUUUGAGUUUGUCAAGCUAGGUGUGAUUCGGCUUCAUAUUUUCAAAAAAAGCCUGGAAAGGCUCUAUGGUGCCUGCUGAUAUAUUUGCUACAACAUUGUUACUUCAUGUUUUGGUUCCAAAUGGUGGGACUGUGGGAGUUGCCACCUGAUUCUGUUUUUUGUGUUUGUAAUCGUGAUUGAAUUGAUCGAGUCUUUUCUGUUUAUGGUAGUUUCCUAUUGUUUGUAUUUGUUUUGAUGAGUUCAAGUCUUUCUCUGUUUUUGCGAGAUCGAAUGUAUGUCCUCCUAAUUGUGUGUAAAUCCAGUUUUCAACGAGUCUCUUAAACUAUGUAACUUAUGUUC